rnacentral:rRNA from 1 species
UGGAUCCUACGGGACGCAGCAGUGGGGAAUAUUGCACAAUGGGGGAAACCCUGAUGCAGCGACGCCGCGUGCGUGAGGAAGUAUUUCGGUAUGUAAAGCUCUAUCAGCAGGGAAGAAGAAAGACGGUACCUGACUAAGAAGCCCCGGCUAACUACGUGCCAGCAGCCGCGGUAAUACGUAGGGGGCAAGCGUUAUCCGGAUUUACUGGGUGUAAAGGGAGCGUAGACGGCUGUGCAAGUCUGAAGUGAAAGCC